rnacentral:rRNA from 1 species
GACGAACGCUGGCGGCGUGCUUAACACAUGCAAGUCGAACGGAAAGGCCCUGCUUUUGUUGCGUGCUCGAGUGGCGAACGGGUGAGUAACACGUGAGUAACCUCCCCUUGUCUUUGUGAUAACUUCAGGGAACUGGGGCUAAUAUCGGAUAGGAGCUCCUGCUGCAUGGUGGGGGUUGGAAAGUUUCGGCGGUUGGGGAUGGUCUCGCGGCUUAUCCGCUUGUUGGUGUGGUAGGGGCUGACCAAGGCUUUGACGGGUAGCCGGCAUGAGAGGGGGGACGGCCACAAUGGGCCUGAGAGACGGACCAGUAUCGAAUCGUACGCAGCAGGCGGGAGUAUGGCGCAACGGGGGGGAGCCUGUGACAGAGACGCCGGGUGCGGGAUGACGGCUUUCGGGUGGUGAACAGCUUUCGAAUGUGCCGAAGCGGGAGUGACGGUAACGGGUAAAGAAGCAACGGCUAACUACGUG